UGGGGAAUAUUGCACAAUGGAGGGAACUAGGAUGCAGCGACGCCGCGUGAACGAAGAAGGCUUUCGAGUCGUAAAGUUCUUCUAUAUGGGAAGAUAAUGACGGUACCAUAAGAAAAAGCACCGGCUAACUACGUGCCAGCAGCCGCGGUAAUACGUAGGGGGCUAGCGUUGUCCGGAAUCACUGGGCGUAAAGGGUUCGCAGGCGGAAAUGCAAGUCAGGUGUAAAAGGCAGUAGCUUAACUACUGUAAGCAUUUGAAACUGCAUAUCUUGAGAAGAGUAGAGGUAAGUAGAAUUUUUAGUGUAGCGGUAAAAUUCGUAGAUAUUAAGAAGAAUACCGGUGGCGAAGGCGACUUACUGGGCUCAUUCUGACGCUGAGGAACGAAAGCGUGGGUAGCAAACAGG
rnacentral:rRNA from 1 species